AUGUACAGAAUUUCAUGUGAGAUUUAUCAGUGUAGACGGGUUAGACAUCCUACCUACGUAGAUGAACCUCCUGGGAGAGAUUUGUCUCUUUUCAUCACUGUGUGGAACUACUCUGUGGUUUUGUUUCCCUCGCAGAAGCUGCCCCCAAAGCGGCCAGAACUUCCCCCAGCUCUAAUGAGAAUGAAGGAUGGGCCUGAAGUGGAAGAGGAGGAAGAGGAGGAGGAGGAUGAAGAGAAAGAAAAGGAGGAGCAUGAAAGGAGAAUGGAGGAUGGGAGCAGUGGGCGGCUGCCGGAGCUAGAGACAGAGGCAGCAGGACAGGAAAUGAGUGUUCCCGCAGCUCUCACGGGCUCUAAGGAAGCAAAAGGCGGUGAAAACACGCCUCAACUCAGCCAAGUAGAUCAGAAUAAAGGUUAUCAAGAGCCUAGUAAGACAGCUUCAUCACCAGAGGAGGCCUCAGCAUCAAAGAAUGAAUAUGAGAGCAGCACUGAAGAAUUGAAGAAAAAGAAAGCUCCUGGUCCAGGCAGAUUUCUACCCACACUUUCUUCGAAAUAUCCUGAAGAUGACCCAGACUACUGUGUGUGGGUUCCACCUGAAGGUACAUUGUUUUUAUUUUUUCUCCAAGAGUUAUUUAUGUUUUGUUUUGUUUUUUUGGUACUGGGGAUCGAACUCGGGUCUUUGCGCUUGUGUUUUUGAAUAGUUAAGGUAUAUUUAAAAUUCAAAAUAAAAAAGUUAUAAGAAUAUGCAGUGAAAGGUCUUCAUUCUGGAGGAACAGAUUAAAAGGUCUAAAGUAAGCCGAGCAUGGUGGCGCAUGCCUGUGAUUACAGCAUUCAAGAGGCUGAGGCAGGAGGAGCAUCUGCUCAAGGCCAGCCUGGGCUGCAUAGUGAGUUCAAGACCAGCUUGGACUAUAGAAUGAGACCCUGUCUUAAAAAAAGAAAAAAGGAUCAAAUAUAAUUUGUGUACCCUGUUUGGAUCCUUAAACAACUGUUAAAUUAUCCAAUCAGAUAAUUUUGAACACUAGCUCAACAUUUGAUGAUAGUAAUAAUUUUUUUUUUUAAUGAUGUUAUGUUUGGGAGCCAAGUUCUUUAUUUUAUUUUUUUGAGACAGGGUCUCACUCUGUAGUUCAUGCUGGCCUUGAACUCACUAUGUAGCCCAGGUUGGACCUCAAAUUCACAGUGAUCCUGCUGGCUCAGCCUCCUGAGUGCCUGGACUACAGGUUUGCGACACCAUGCCCGGCUUCUGUUUACUUUUGCGUGUAUUUUAACUUUAUCAAGUUAACAGGAAGAAAAAUCUUUAGGCUAUGCCUCAGCUGCUCACUUUUUUCUCUAAAGACAGCCAAAUACUGUCAAUUUCCUAUUAAUUCUAGCAUAAUAUAUAAAUGCCUAUUUUGGCAGUGAAACACUUAUCUUACCACUUUUUCUGCACCAAUGGAAGCAUUUUGUUUAAAUAGCUCUUUCAAUGAAUAUUUGCUGUUUCCAGGGUUUUUUUUUGCCAUUACAAACAAUUCUGCAAACAUAUGUAACUUUUAAUAUAUGUGAUAUAUAAAUUAUAGAGGUGCAUCUAGAGGAAAAAAUAAGUUAACCUGUGGAAUUAAAGAUAUGAACAUCUUGAAGAUAGUCUGAAUUGCAUUCUGUAAAGAUUGUACUGGUUUCAUGCCCAUAUAUACACACUUAAGGGAAUGAACGAGAUGCCAUUUUCCCCAUGUUCCCAUGCAUGUUGCUUUUUCUGUGACGGUGUUUCUAAGAUACUAGUCAUUAACAGAAAUUUACUUACUAAAAGUGUUGAUGGGCCAGGGAUUUAGCUCAGUGGUUCUGGCGCCUGCCUCGCAAGUGCAAGGUCCCAAGUUUGAUCUCUGGUACCAAAGAAAAAGAAAAAAAAGUGUUGGGUUUUUAUUGGCUAAUAAAUAUUAGGGUAGAAGUGAAUACAAAAGCAAAAUUUCUACUAAAGAAGAAACUUCCUUAUUUGUUUUACUUUUGGCCUAUUGAUGUCUGGAUAUCUUUUCCCUCUUGAUUUUGGAAGAGUAAAUAUACUUCUUUCUUAUUUUAUACUUCGAUGUAGGUCAAAGUGGAGAUGGCAGAACCCAUCUGAAUGACAAGUAUGGCUAUUGAUUUCCGCAGACUCCCAAAGGAAGACCUUGUGGACCAUGUACAUAGGACAUUUUGAAUGCUAUGUCAAGUUGAGACCAGAGAAGUUCAGAUGACCAUUUGUAAAGUCUGGUGACUGGCCUUUUCUUCCAUGCUCUUGGCUGUUUAAAGUUAUCUGCCCAUCUGAUUCUCCUGAGAUUUUGGUAUUUAUGUCUAAAAGGAUUUGUGUAUAUAUGUAAAAAGGAAACCACAUACUUUGACAAUUAGAAAAGUGAGACACGUGAGAAUACAAAAAUGUCUGUAGUGUUGAUUUAAGACCAAGCCUCUUUGAUUAAGACUGAAGGACUAUGGGCCUGAGGCUUGCCCAGCAUGCAUGAGGUCCUGGGUGUGAUCCCCACAUCAUGACAAAACACAGAGUAAAACCAAAACAGAACAGGCUUUUCCUGAGCACUGGGAUGCCUCUGGCAGUCAGGCUGGAGAAUUCACUGAUAUAAUGUCCUCAGGUAACUAGUGAAGUAGGGUCUGCCUUGGGUUUGACUCCGAAUGUCCUUGUCCCUAGAACUAAAAAUAGAUUUGCAGUGGGGCUUCAUACUGACUUGAAAUGCGAUUUCUCCACCAGGUUUGAGAAUAGACCCUGACUUAUCAGGACAUAGUCAACUUAGCCCCAUCUCAUGCACUUGGCCACCGGUCUGAUAAGAUCUCAGCCUAAUGAAUGUUCUGGAUUCUGCGUGACUAAUGGGUUAGUUAUCCCUCCUCUUGUGGAAGGGCACAAAUAAGGUCAUGGAAUGAAAAGCAGAAUGUCUCCUGCUCGGGGCGGGACUUCUCACCUCUGUGGUGAGGAAAGUAAAAGUUCCUUCCUGGAAACAGGAGGAAAUGCAAGCUGCCAUAUUACUUCUUCUCUUCUUCCCCGUCAUUAAUGCCUUAUUUCUGUAGAAAGGAAAGUCCGAGAGUGAAGCAGGGUGGAGAGCACUUGAGUUAGGUUGAAGGCAGACAUACUUAGCAGGAAAAUUGCUACAGCCCAGCUAGAGAGUGGAUGAGGCUGUUGCUUUCCUAAAAUGGAUUAUGCAUGAAGGUAGACAGAAAGCAGUAAUGAUAAUGAGCAGCUUCCGUUACCCUGGCAGAUGUGGGAAGUUUGGCCCACUAAAGUAAGGCACGGUGGCUCAUGCCUGUAAUCCCAGCACUAAGGCUGAGGGAAGAAGGUCACAAAUUUGAGCCCCGCCUGAGAAAUUUGGUGAGACCCUGCCUCAAAAUAAAAAGGCCUGGGGAUAACCAGACAUGGUGGCACAUGCCUAUAAUCCCAGCUCUGUGGUAGACUGAGGCAGAAGGAUUGAAAGUUUGAGCCCAGCCUGGGCACCUUCAUGAGACCCUGUCUCAAAAGAAGAAAAAGGCUACACUGCAGCUUAGUGUGAAGGCCCUUGGUUCAAUCUCUGGUACCACCACCAAAAAAAGAAAAAAAAAAGUGUCGAGGGGCUGGGAUGUAGCUCAGCAGCAGAGUGCCCCUAAGAUCCAUCCCCAGCUCAAAAAGAAGAAGGGAUGUUGGUACUGUGGAAACUCAUUUUGGACUUCGUUCAGGCUGAUUACCUGCAGGACUGGUUGAGGAGGUGGGGAGUGACGGGUUUGGGGGCAGAGCGACCACCUCCUUGGAUCAAAGUGGUGAGCAGAGGCCUGAGUCCGACCAGUGGUCUUCAGAGGUGAACGUCCAUUCAGACCAAGUUGUACAUGGAACCCUACUACGUGACCAGCCCAAAAUACCCCUGCUCUGGGAGAGGCGAAGGCGCUGGAGUUGGAGCCACAACACGCACACAUACAAGUGCACACAUGUGCACACCUUCCUUGUUCUGCACUCUCAGUGACUCUGAGAGGUGCUAGAUGCUCCACGGAGCACAGCCCGCCUCAGGAAGGCAGAUUUCUAAAGGUUCUGUGGACAAGAGGUGUCUUCAUAAUUUAGUACAUCGUGUGUGGUAGCUGACAUACUUCGUGCACUCCUGUGAAGUAAAGAAACGUUCUCUGAACUUUGGUGCCUCCAAUUUUUUGUCGCGUUUGUGUGGCCCAUCAUUCUUACCUGUCAUCAUUUUUCUUCCCACUCCUGUCUCUUAAAUCUCCAGUUAACCCUUGAUUUAAUGGAAACUUGGUGGCAGCCUCACCUGCAGGAGGUGGUGACUUGGGCGAAGAAUUCAUGAGAUAAAAUCUCUGACACUGUUGCCAGUGCACUGUGAGCGGGCUGCAUGGACGAGGAGGUCCUCAUUUAUGGUGAGCUCUACUGCUGAGAGAUGGGGCCAGUGGCUCUAAGGGAAAUGGAGUGGCAAGAAUUCAGGCAGGAAUUCAGGUUAGAGAGUUAGGACAAUGUUCCAGGGGAAGAGGACAUGACUGUAUUUGAAUAAAUGCAGAUUGUUGUACAUGAAAAACAGGCAUUCCCUGAAAAUAAGCCCUAUUGAGUCUUUUGGAGCAAAAGUUAAUAUA
rnacentral:lncRNA from 1 species